rnacentral:rRNA from 1 species
AUUGAACGCUGGCGGCAUGCCUUACACAUGCAAGUCGAACGGCAGCGGGGGAGAAGCUUGCUUUUCCUGCCGGCGAGUGGCGAACGGGUGAGUAAUACAUCGGAACGUGCCCUGUAGUGGGGGAUAACUAGUCGAAAGAUUAGCUAAUACCGCAUACGACCUGAGGGUGAAAGUGGGGGACCGCAAGGCCUCAUGCUAUAGGAGCGGCCGAUGUCUGGUUAGCUAGUUGGUGGGGUAAAGGCCUACCAAGGCGACGAUCAGUAGCUGGUCUGGGAGGACGGACAGCCACCCUGGGACGGAGACACGGCCCAGACUCCUACGGGAGGCAGCAGUGGGGAAUUUUGGACAAUGGGCGAAAGCCUGAUCCAGCAAUGCCGCGUGUGUGAAGAAGGCCUUCGGGUUGUAAAGCACUUUUGUCCGGAAAGAAAUGGCUCUGGUUAAUACCUGGGGUCGAUGACGGUACCGGAAGAAUAAGGACCGGCUAACUACGUGCCAGCCGCCGCGGUAA